UACGUAGGGUGCGAGCGUUAAUCGGAAUUACUGGGCGUAAAGCGCGCGCAGGCGGUUAGUCAAGGCAGGGGUGAAAGCCCAGAGCUCAACUCUGGAAUUGCCUUUGAAACUGUAGAACUUGAGUACGGGAGAGGUGAGUGGAAUUCCCAGUGUAGAGGUGAAAUUCGUAGAUAUUGGGAAGAACACCGGUGGCGAAGGCGGCUCACUGGCCCGUUACUGACGCUCAGGCGCGACAGCGUGGGGAUCAAACAGG
rnacentral:rRNA from 1 species